GUCCACGCCGUAAACGAUGUCGACUAGCCGUUGGCCCCUUAUGGGGGUUAGUGGCGCAGCCAACGCAUUAAGUCGACCGCCUGGGGAGUACGGCCGCAAGGUUAAAACUCAAAUGAAUUGACGGGGGCCCGCACAAGCGGUGGAGCAUGUGGUUUAAUUCGAUGCAACGCGAAGAACCUUACCUGCCCCUUGACAUCCUAAGAAUUUGGCGGAGACGCCUUAGUGCCUUCGGGAACUUAGAGACAGGUGCUGCAUGGCUGUCGU
rnacentral:rRNA from 1 species